UACGGGGGGGGCAAGCGUUGUUCGGAAUUACUGGGCGUAAAGGGCUCGUAGGCGGCCAACUAAGUCGGAUGUGAAAUCCCCAAGCUUAACUUGGGAACUGCAUCCGAUACUGGAUGGCUUGAAUCCGGGAGAGGGAUGCAGAAUUCCAGGUGUAGCGGUGAAAUGCGUAGAUAUCGUAAGGAAGACCAGUGGCGAAGGCGGGUCUCUGGACAGUUCCUGACGCUGAGGCACGAAGGUCAGGGGAGCAAACGGGG
rnacentral:rRNA from 1 species